GAUGGGUUAGGGUUAGGCAUUCAGUCAUAAUCCCACAGAUGGUAGCUUUGGGGCACUUCGUUUUUGGAAAAUAAUAAACUAGCCUGUCUCAAAUAAGACCCUCAUCAUUUAAGACCCUCAUCAUUUGGGACACUCAGUUUUUGGAAAAUAAUUUGGGACACUAAACUGCACGUAUACCAAACAUACAUAGGUUACGCUGAUUGUAAAAUACCAACCACAGUAUUUCACCAUACUGUAACGUUAGAGGGGUGAGGUCAGACCAACAUGUAGUUGCUGAAAGUUGUGCCAAAGUGAAGUCAACUAACAU